AGGUUUCUGAGUAUAUGGGGAUGGAUGCGACACAUUCAAUGUUAAGUGCGCGAGAAAAACAAAAGGGAGAAAAUUUUCUCCCUUUUUGCGAUAACU
rnacentral:sRNA from 1 species